rnacentral:rRNA from 1 species
CUUGAAUCGUAGCAUUGAGAACUGUUGCUGACCUUGUAAUAAGGGUAUGUGCACGUUCAAAGUGUUGCGUGUUCUAUUCAUCCACCUGUGCACCUUUGUAGACUUGGUUAGCUUUCGCCUUAGGACGGAUAGGAAGGGUUGCUUUAGGGCUCCCUUUGUGUACCAAGUCUAUGUCUAUAUAAUCUCUUGUAUGUCUUAGAAUGUUUUGUUUAUAGGACGGCAAGUCCUUUAAAAUCUUAUACAACUUUCAACAACGGAUCUCUUGGCUCUCGCAUCGAUGAAGAACGCAGCGAAAUGCGAUAACUAAUGUGAAUUGCAGAAUUCAGUGAAUCAUCGAGUCUUUGAACGCACCUUGCGCCCUUUGGUAUUCCAAAGGGCAUGCCUGUUUGAGUGUCAUUAAAUUCUCAACCUUCCCUUCUUUUGUUAGGAGUGCGGCGGAUUGGAUUAUGGGGGUUUGCUGGUCUCUAACGAGAUCAGCUCCUCUGAAAUGUAUUAGCAGAAACCGUUUGACAUUGGCUGCUAGGCUGUGAUAAUGUAUCUACGCUUUGUAGUCAAGUCGGAAUACGAGUCAUAUAUAUAAUAACUCUGGCUUAGCAUUGGUUUGGAAGGUGCUUAACGGCUCCUUCUGCUUUCUUCCUUAGAGAAGAUACUUGUCCGAUACUAAGUAAGAGAGGGAGUUGCUUAGGCUUUUCUUGAUUAUCGACUUUGUAGAAGGUUCAGCUUCUACCGUCCAUUGAGUUGGACAAUUUAUUGACUAUUGACCUCAAUCAGGUAGGGCUACC